GAUGAACGCUGGCGGCGUGCCUAAUACAUGCAAGUCGAGCGAAUGGAUUAAGAGCUUGCUCUUAUGAAGUUAGCGGCGGACGGGUGAGUAACACGUGGGUAACCUGCCCAUAAGACUGGGAUAACUCCGGGAAACCGGGGCUAAUACCGGAUAACAUUUUGAACCGCAUGGUUCGAAAUUGAAAGGCGGCUUCGGCUGUCACUAAUGGAUGGAGCCGCGUCGCAUUAGCUAGUUGGUGAGGUAACGGCUCACCAAGGCAACGAUGCGGAGCCGACCUGAGAGGGUGAUCGGCCACACUGGGACUGAGACACGGCCCAGACUCCUACGGGAGGCAGCAGUAGGGAAUCUUCCGCAAUGGACGAAAGUCUGACGGAGCAACGCCGCGUGAGUGAUGAAGGCUUUCGGGUCGUAAAACUCUGUUGUUAGGGAAGAACAAGUGCUAGUUGAAUAAGCUGGCACCUUGACGGUACCUAACCAGAAAGCCACGGCUAACUACGUGCCAGCCGCCGCAGUAA
rnacentral:rRNA from 1 species